rnacentral:RNase_P_RNA from 1 species
GAAGUCUGCCAGACCGUCGCUGGCGCAUGGCCCGCAAGGGCGCGCUGGAGGACCGUCCGGACUGCGCAGGGCAGCGUAGGAGGUAACACCUCGCCACCGCGAGGUGCGGAUCAGAGCCACAGAGACGAGCCGGUUCCGACCGGGGUGAAACGCGGCAAUCUCUACGCGCAGCAACUCCAAGUAGGCCAGCCCGGGGGCACCCCCGACCCGUGGCCCGCGGGCCGUGCUGGCGGGUAGGUGGCAUCGAGCCGUUUGGGAGACCAGCGGCCCAGAGGAAUGGCGGUCACAAGGGGCUCUCGGGCCCCGAGCACAGCAUCCGGCGUACCGGCAGACUUCACUU